UACGGAGGGAGCUAGCGUUGUUCGGAAUUACUGGGCGUAAAGCGCACGUAGGCGGCUAUUCAAGUCAGAGGUGAAAGCCCGGGGCUCAACCCCGGAACUGCCUUUGAAACUAGAUAGCUUGAAUCCAGGAGAGGUGAGUGGAAUUCCGAGUGUAGAGGUGAAAUUCGUAGAUAUUCGGAAGAACACCAGUGGCGAAGGCGGCUCACUGGACUGGUAUUGACGCUGAGGUG
rnacentral:rRNA from 1 species